rnacentral:snRNA from 1 species
UGUUACAGGAAACAGAGACU